AUCUGAAGUACCAGCUAUAAUAGAAAAGCCGCCGUGGAAACGUCUUCUUGGGGUGCCCCCGAUCGCAAUAACAGUCUGGGUGCACCAUGACAGCUUUCGCUAUGCACACAGUCACUUGGAAAGAAUCCAAUCCAUGAUCCCAAGCUGCCUUUAGUCAUCAUGGCUCCCAACUGUCUUCCAGUCUAAGAUGGUUUCUCCGUAUUUCCUUGCUUCCUCUGGCCUUGGAAGUUUUGAGGCGUGCUGGGUUGAAUUUCUCCACAAGAGCUACAGAAAAAAAUGGCAGUUCAAUUGGUGGCGAUUCAUUCAUUCAUUCAUUCUUCACUCAUUCAUUCAACACUUGCUGAGACACCUUCUCUGCUUCAGGCCCUGGCUUGGUCCUCACAUCAAAGAACUCACGGUUGGUGGCUGGACAUAUGUGGAGACAGACAUGUGACAAACUAAGUGCCGCAGGGAGGGGGACCCUGAGUCCCGCUGGCCCACACUGUCCUGGGUUUGCAUGGUCACAGCUUAUGGACAGAGACUAUGGGAGCUAUGACCAAAACACAGAGAGGGAGGUAAGGGGGUGUUCCCCGCCGUGUCAGGGCAGAGUCAGGUGUGUGAGGAGCAGGGGAAGGUUCCCUGAGCUCAUAGUGAGCCUGGCUGGGGCUGGACUGUGGGGAUGGAAUUCAGACUCAGCCCUAUGACCAAGUAUUUCCUAACGGCACCAGAGACAGGUUCUCUAGUGUCUGUUAUGCAAGGCAAAUUCUCGCUUUAAGUUUCCAUUCCAUUGAUGAUCUAAAAAUAUAUACAACUUAUUCUGGAUACAGGGACCACCUUUAGGAGAUAACAGCUGUGCAGCCUCAGGGGCUGAGUCCAGCUUUCUGAUCAGGCUCAUGUGGAUGCUCCACGGGGAGUGUUGCUGGUGGCCGAGAGGCUGGCCCACCGGAACCUCUGAAGAGCAAGGCUCGCCCCACGCUUGGCACUCAUCCUCAUGCCGCAUUCUCCUGCCAGUUGUAAAGACAACACUUCUCUGGGAGUGACAACUCAUAAUUGAAGGAGGCUUAUGUAAGAUAAGAUUUGAGUUGAAGUUUCAUAGACUAGACUUUGUUUUGACAUCCUGAAAGAACAGAAUGUCAGGGAGUGGAAUGCUGUGUGAGUUGUUGAGGCAAAUGAGGAAGGCCAGUGGAAGCAGACUGCAGGCAAACGACACCUGCAUGCCAAGCCAGGCCAAGAGAGGCUGUUGCACGUUCUAGAAGCAGAGAUUUCUUUGCCCUUGCACACAGGGAAGCAGCAGCAGGUCACGGUGCCUGUCAGGACAUAGCGGGGGCCCAUGGAACCCCAAGGAACUGGCCCAUACAUGCCUCUGAUGCUCUGACUCACAGAAGGCCAUCAGCAGUGAGGAGAAAAUACAGAAUGACUUUUGGAAAGCAAUCGGCUUUUUUUUACAGUAUUGAAUUUUGGAUGCAUGACUAACAUCUGACAAGCCUAUCAUAAUAACUGAGUGGGGACUUAAAUGAGUUCAUGGUUGAAAAGAAAAAGCCAGCAGUAGCAAUAAGGACAGUAACACAGUGAAGGUUUAUCACUCUCAAAAUCAAAGAAUUAACUAAAAAAAAAAGGGAACGCCAAUAUGUGUGACAACCAACAUGCGUGUUUUGGCUUCAGCAAAACGUUACAUUAAAUCAAUGAACAACAUUUGAAUAUUACUGAUUUCAGAUUUUUUAUACUUAAUUUACAAGUGUUUUUUAAUAGGCUCUAACUUAAAGAGUUUACACCUGGUUUCAUUUGUGCAUUUUAAGGUCAUGAUUAUGAUAAAAGUAAUUUAUAUUAAUAUUGGAGGCUCUCAAAGAAAACAUUUUCCUUUAAAAGGAGUCUGUAUAUUAGUCAUGUGUUGGGGGAGCUAAAAAGCCAAGGAGUGACAUGGUCAGAUGUAUUUUCCUGUAAUGUAAAAUGUUGAAUAAACAAGAUGUAACUGGGCCGGGUGUGUUGGGUCACACCUGAUCCUAGCACUCUGGGAGGCU
rnacentral:lncRNA from 1 species